CGUAAGCGUUAUAAAAAACCUAAUGCUUUCAGAUUUUUUGCAUUAGUCUUGAACAUAAUCCAAGGAUUUUUGCACGCAGGCUUAUUCAACUCAGUUAAAAUUUUUAUCUUAUAGAUAGAAAAAACAGCAAUUGAAUAUAUUCUUAAAUGCACAGUUACAACCGAGAAGAAGUUUUUUAACAUUGUUAUAUCGUUAAAAAAAACUUUAUGAAACUUAAAAUUGUUACCUGGGUUAUUUCAAUUGAGAUUACAACGACGCAUAAAUAUAAGAAUACCCUUUUUCUAGGCCCUAUAUCCUUCAAUCCAUGUUGCAGAGAAAUAUCGCUUCUCUACCACCUCCCACUCUCUAAAAAAAAUGGAAUCCCCCUCUUACUCUCUCAAAAAAAAAGAAAUCCCCAUGAUGAUGAUGACGCCGCCGCCGCACGCCGUUUGGGAAAUAGUGAGAUUUCAUUGGUUAGAAGUUUAGUUCCGACGACAUUCGAUCGUCUGCGCUGCUACUGCGCCCUCUUUCGAUAUUUUCGGCGACGAGAAGAAGGAGGGAAGAAACGCAAAACCAAGACUCGCUCGCGAUCGACCGCGGCGAAGGGAGGUUGGACUUUCAUUUCGGUUUUGAUUCCAGAAAUAGAAAAGAUGUUGCAGUCUUCUAGUAGGACUGUGGUGGAAUCUGACAGUGUGCCUUUUUUCAAGACUCAAAUGAGUCCUUCUUCAACCAUGAUCUCCAGCCAGCAAUCCAGUUUCUUUACGCUCAACUCAAAAGAACAUGUUGCUACCUCAGCUACUUCAUCUAUAUUUCAGCAAGAAACGCCAUUAAUCCAAGCAAACACACAGAAUAGCCAGCAUAUUCAACACUCAAGACAGCCUACUCUUAGGCAUAAUGCUAGGCAACAACAGCAGAAGCAUGGAACUGUCGAAGAGUCAUCAGAGAAGCUUGGUUCCCUUCACUCGAAACUCCACCAAGAAGCCGACAAGAUACGUAAAUGGAAAGUAGACAUUGAAAUGGAUGUAAAGUACAAGGAAAGAAAACUGACCGAGUGUCAACAAACUAUUGAGUCACAAAGAAAAUCCAUCCUUGAAUUGCAGCUUCAGAAUGAAAACCUAAGUCAGAAGUUACAACUUGAAAUUGAUAACCAAUGUGAUAUUAGUCAAAAAAUUGAGUCUACCCGCAGUAUGUGCAAUAUACUAAAAGAUUACACUAACAAAGUUGAAGAAAGGCUAUCACUUUGUGAGAAGGAUAAAGCUGUGCUGCAGUUACAAGAACAAGAGCGAAUGGAACAAUGCGAAGAUUUGGAAGAGCGAUUUAAAAGUUUAAGCCUUGUACAUGUUGAUAAAGUCAAUAAUCUGAAUAUUCAAUUGGAACUAGAAGAAAAGCAGCACACAGAUGCCAUUGAAAAGUAUCAAGAAAAAUUAGAAGAUUUAGACAAUGAAAUAAAGGUGCUGUCAAAUAAUUGUGAAGAAAAGAAUAACAUGAUUGAUGUUCUGAAUGAGAAGGUGAAUGAGAGACAACUUACCAUAAUUGAUGUACAAACAGAAAAGGAAUCAUUACAGAAAAUGUUAUCUGAGGCAAAAUCUGAACUUGCAACUAAAGUUCAGCAAGUCGAAAUCUUAACAUUGAAUAUGCAAGAAAGCCAGAAGCAGAAGGAAGAACUUAUUUUUGAAAAGACUAAAAUUGAGGAUGAUGUAAGAGAUUUACAAGAAAGAGAAGCAGAACUGUCCAACACAAUCAGAGAACUUUCAGGAAACUUGGAAACGGAAGGCAAAAAAAACAGCUUACUUGAGGAGAACAGUGCUGCUAUAAAAACUGAGAUGACCAAAGAGAAAAUCAAGCUUGAGGAAGAAAUCAGCAGACUUAAUGAAGAACUCAAAAAAGCUAAUAAUGAAAAGCAGCAGAAUAUUUUGACUAUUGAGAAAUACAGAGAAGAGCAGCUCAUCCUUGAGAAGAAAAUAUUGAAUGCCAAUGAUGAGGGUCAGGAUCUUAUAAGACAAAAGGAGAAGCUACAAGUAGAAAUUCAAGAAUGCAGGCAAGCAAUAGAAAAGAAGGAGAUAGAAUUAUGUAGCGGUACCAAAGAACUUAAAGAUGCUUUGGAAAGAGAGAAAGUAUCUUAUGAUAGAAUUGAUUCACUGAAGAAGGAACUUGAACAAAUAAGCACGGAAAAGAGUGUAUUAGAUUCCUCACUUAACACAUUGAAAGAUGAGAGAGAAGAUUUGGAGGCUAAAUUGAAGGCAGAAAUUCAGCUAACAGCUGAAUUAGAAAAUAAUAUUGCGGACCUUGAAAGAAGUAAGAAAAAAUCAGAGAAAAACCUCAAAGCAGCUCUUAAAGAAUCAGAUGAAUUGAGAGAAAACGUAUCAAAUCUGGAUACAAGCAUUCAUGAACACUCCAAGACAAAUGAAAAGCUACAGGAGCAGACAAGCUUGAAUAAAGCUCUACAGUCAGAACUUGAUUCUACUAGCAAGCAAAUCAAGAUUCUAGAAAAGAAGAAUGAAACACUAGAAAAUCAACUAGCUACUAAAUCUAAACAAGUAAAAAACUUGCAACAAGAGACAAAAACACUCAAGAGCAAGGUCACAUCUCAAACUAAACAAAGUAACUCUUUAGAGAAGAAAAUUUCAACUACAGAGGAGACCUGUGAGAAAUACCAUGUUGAAAAUGAAGACCUCCUUAGAAAGAUUUCAGAAAUAGAGAAAAUACUGCAAGAAAAAGAAGAGAUGAUAGAAGCUACUAAAGUCAAGCAUAAUGAAUUAGAAGCAAAAAUGCAACAAACGAUUCAAGAACAUACAGAAGCGAAAAUGAGUUGUGAAAAGGAAAGAGCUGAAGUCAGUAACACAUUGAUAGUGUAUAAGAUGGAAAAUGAAAAUAUAGUUUCAAGGAAAGAUAAAGAAAUAGAGAAACUACACAAGGAGAUAACCUUACUGACAAAGGCAAAAAACGAUCAGUUAUCAAGCCUGCAAAAUUCAUUCAAAGAACAAAAACAGGAAUUGGAGAAAGUUUCUAAAGAUUACAACAAUGCUUUGAAGGAAUCGGAAAAUGACAAGAAAAGGAUAACAGACUUAAUAGAAAAGCAGCUGCAGGAAGAGAAAGACAUAGUGGCAUUGAAACCCAAUUCCAAGAAAAAUCCAACCAAGAUUAAUCUUCCUGGAACUCCGAAGACCCCUCAGAGCAACCUGGUUCAUUCUCAAAGCCCAGUGAAGGCUGACACACCAGUAUACAAAGCUACAAAUCCAGGUCUGGAGCCCAAACCAAAGACACCAACCUCUUACGUUUAUCCAGAAAAGUCACCACAUGGUAUCCUAAAGCCUGGACUAGGCAGUGCCAAGAAGAAACGUGUUAUAUUUGCUGAAAGUGACGAUGAUGGCAGUUGUUCAGAUUCAUCAACCUCACAACUGAUGGAAAUUGAGAUUGAUGAUGUACCACGUGGUACAAAAGAAAAGAAAUCAAGAAGACCAAGUCAAAAGGUUACACCUUUGCGAAUCCGACCAUCACCAAGCAUGAAAAUCCCAGCAAGUGAUGCUUUUGAUGAAGCAAAAAGAAAUGCACUUAAGCCAGUACCCAGGGGUCAAACAAUCACCCAGCAAAGAAAGGUGUUUAGUAGUAACAUUUAAAAAGUAAAAUUCCAAGAAAAUUCUGGAAAGUUUGCAGUUGAAGAAAGUCAAUGGCAUCAGUGUUAUCCAGGAUUACCUGUGGAUGGUGCUAAAAAAAACAAGAAUGCAUCACAGAAGAAAGAAC
rnacentral:misc_RNA from 1 species